rnacentral:tRNA from 1 species
CAGCUGUAGCUCAGCUGGAUAGAGUACCUGACUACGAAUCAGGUGGUCGCAGGUUCGACUCCUGCCAGCUG